rnacentral:rRNA from 1 species
UAAGGAAUAUUGGUCAAUGGACGCAAGUCUGAACCAGCCAUGCCGCGUGAAGGAUGAAGGUCCUCUGGAUUGUAAACUUCUUUUAUCUGGGACGAAAACGGGAUUUUUAUCUCAAUUGACGGUACCAGAGGAAUAAGCACCGGCUAACUCCGUGCCAGCAGCCGCGGUAAUACGGAGGGUGCGAGCGUUAUCCGGAUUUACUGGGUUUAAAGGGUGCGUAGGUGGGCUUAUAAGUCAGUGGUGAAAUCUCCGAGCUUAACUUGGAAACUGCCGUUGAUACUAUUGGUCUUGAAUUAUCUGGAGGUAAGCGGAAUAUGUCAUGUAGCGGUGAAAUGCUUAGAUAUGACAUAGAACACCAAUUGCGAAGGCAGCUUACUACAUAUAAAUUGACGCUGAG